rnacentral:rRNA from 1 species
GAGACAACUCUCUCUAAGGAACUCGGCAAAAUAGCUUCGUAACUUCGGGAGAAGGAGUGCCUCCUCACAAAGGGGGUCGCAGUGACCAGGCCUGGGCGACUGUUUACCAAAAACACAGGUCUCCGCAAAGUCGUAAGACCAUGUAUGGGGGCUGACGCCUGCCUAGUGCUGGAAGGUUAAGGAAGUUGGUGACCUGAUGAUAGGGGAGCCGACGACCGAAGCCCCGGUGAACGGCGGCCGUAACUUCCCCACAUUCCAUCCUAUGAAAUGGAGUACGGGGAAGCCCUUUACUGUAGCUUACCCCCUUGGGGGCUAGGGGGGAGAAUGGUUUGAAAAUUUUUCAGAGAUCGUUC